rnacentral:sRNA from 1 species
CACAUGCCAUGAAAAGAUCACCGACUUUGUUUACGAUUUUUGAGUGGUUUUGACCUGCAACCAGUACCAUCAAUAGUAUGCUUUUAGCUAAGGAAAAAGAAAAACCUAUGUUUAUACAUGCACGAUUUCUUCUGAUAUUGGUGGUUGCAUGGAUCUAUACGUACCCAGAAGCAUAGACGAAGUGCUGAAGUUCACAUCACAUGUAGUUGGAAGAAGAAGCGUUGCUGCAGUUGCAGAGAACAGAAGGAAGAGAGUGAAUCUGCGGAACAUGUUUAGUUUCAAUGAUUCGCAUACAUAGGAAAGAGCUAAGUGUCGGUCUUACGUUUUAAAAUGAAAUUCCCAAAUUCAAUUAGAGUAGAUCCAAUAAUGUAUAGGUUUUAACGUGUAAUAAAGUUGAAAGAUACUGGAAAUUUCUCUCCGGCUGCAAAGAACCAAGAAGGGACCACACUCUGGCUUUUUCCCCGACCAAAGUCAUCUUAACUAGCACUGUGUUCACACUUCCAAAGAGUUCCUUACUCAGUAAAUUGUGGUGACAAGAUUUUAUAAAAAGAGAUUGAAGAGAAGAAGACUGAGAGACAUGUGGAAAGAUCAGGAUGAUCAACGCAAAAACUCAUGCAUUACCAACAAAAUAAAUUCUUUCAAAAGCACGUGCAUAGCUUACAGACUUCAAUUUGUCUACGUUUUAACCAGUCAAUGAUCAAACUUUGAACUUUCACCCAGACAAACAUAAUAUCAAACUCUA